AUUCAGCUGACGAGUUCCAAAUAGGACGAAACGCGCUUCCUAUAU
rnacentral:hammerhead_ribozyme from 1 species